UGUGAGAGCGAGCUUGCUCGCGAUGACCGCCUGGCAUCCAACAUUGAUUUUGACUGACAGUCCGCUAUCGCGAGCAAGCUCGCUCCCACA
rnacentral:misc_RNA from 1 species